rnacentral:misc_RNA from 1 species
GAUGAAGAACGUAGCGAAAUGCGAUACUUGGUGUGAAUUGCAGAAUCCCGUGAACCAUCGAGUCUUUGAACGCAAGUUGCGCCUCAAGCCAUUAGGUUGAGGGCACGUCUGCCUGGGCGUCACAUAUCGUUGCCUGAUGCCAGUUUCCUCGUGAUGGGUGACUGUGCAGGGCGAAUGAUGGCUUCCCGUGAGCAUUGUUACCUCAUGGUUGGUUGAAAAUUGAGUCCUUGGUAGGGAGCGCCGUGAUAGAUGGUGGUUGAGUGACGAACGAGACCCAAUCAUGUGAGACCCCUACCGAAUUUGGCCUUCAUGACCCACAUGCGUCUUUGGAACGCUCAUGACGAGACCUCAGGUCAGGCGGGGCUACCCGCUGAGUUUAAGCAUAUCAAUAAGCGGAGGA